AGACGAACCGUCCAAACGUUAUUCGGAAUCACUGGGCUUAAAGGGUGCGUAGGCGGCACGGCAAGUUGGGUGUGAAAGCCCUCGGCUCAACCGAGGAAUUGCGCCCAAAACUGCCGCGCUCGAGGGAGACAGAGGUGAGCGGAACUUAGGGUGGAGCGGUGGAAUGCGUUGAUAUCCUAAGGAACACCGGUGGCGAAAGCGGCUCACUGGGUCUCUUCUGACGCUGAGGCACGAAAGCUAGGGGAGCGAACGGGAUUAGAAACCCCAGUAGUCC
rnacentral:rRNA from 1 species